rnacentral:rRNA from 1 species
UCGGGAAUUUUGGGCAAUGGGCGAAAGCCUGACCCAGCAACGCCGCGUGAGGGAUGAAGUAUUUCGGUAUGUAAACCUCGAAAGAAUGGGAAGAAUAAAUGACGGUACCAUUUAUAAGCUCCGGCUAACUACGUGCCAGCAGCCGCGGUAAUACGUAGGGAGCAAGCGUUGUUCGGAUUUACUGGGCGCAAAGGGCGCGUAGGCGGCGCGGUAAGUCACUUGUGAAAUCUCUGAGCUUAACUCAGAACGGCCAAGUGAUACUGCUGUGCUAGAGUGCGGAAGAGGCAACCGGAAUUCUUGGUGUAGCGGUGAAAUGCGUAGAUAUCAAGAGGAACACCUGAGGCGAAGGCGGGUUGCUGGGCCGACACUGACGCUGAUGCGUGAAAGCCAGGGGAGCAAACG